UCUAUCUGAGGCUUUCCAAAGAUCAUGAAUAACACCUGAAUUACAGUCACCACCAAAGUAGAAGCUCAAAUUCACUAAGGAGCAAAGGGUGCUAGGCUUGCUGAUCUAGAAUAAAGGUCUGGGGAAAGAGAUGAGAGAUAGCUUACCACGAAUGUUAACCGUAGACAACCAUACUGAAGCAAGAUAAAUUGAAUCACCCUGGAAGUCAAAGAGCAUGUCUUUAUCUGCAAUUUGGAGAUGAAAUGAACCACACUUCUGGAGAAUGAUGAUGUUAAAAGUCUGAGUUUAAGGAUCUCUCAACUUGAUUGCUGUUCCACUUCCAAAGACAUAAAAAUCGUAAGUUCCUGAAAAUGGAUAUUCACAUACAAGAGUGGAGUUUUGUGUUGCUUUUCAGUUAGAUAAGUUGGUUCACUGAGUUGCUCCACAACAGCUGUAAAAGUACAAAGAAGGGACUACUAGAGGAACAUGAAAACAUGUUUAACCAUGAUCACAUCAGCAGUGCUGUCAAAACACAGUCUGCUGCCUCAUGAGGAAUCAGACAAGUGCUUUGUCAGUUGUGCUUUAAAGCUAUUCUUUCCAAUGACGUGUACUGGAUUAUUCUGUACCAUUGUGCAAAACUCCGUCAAAUAACUAAAAGUGAAAAAUUCACCUGGAAACAAGUGUCACAGUACCAAUAAAAGAAUAAU